GCUGACGUAAGAGCAGGUGAUGGGCGUGUCAAUACAUUGAUUUGCCGCCGCUGUUUCUGGCUCGGCUGUGCGUGAUGGCCAAACAGGCGUGAUGCCGUUACAGAUUUAAUAAAUAAAACUAGACUAACGGCCCUCCAAAUGCUCCCUGUUCGGUGUUUUCCCCCUGGAACUGAACUGUGUCAACAGUUUUAGAAACACUGGGCCGACCAGGGCUCGAAGGUUUUCGCUUUUUCCGCCACUGUCCGAGGAAGACUGGGUAGUUUGACUAAAUCACAGCCCGUACAGCAUCUAUCGAUAAGUUGCAAAGGAGUGCACGAAAAUCAGAACCAGACCCUCCCAUGAUGCAACAGUGAGGCCCGUCCUGCCUUUUGGAAACUAGCACAGCAAACCCGCCAGAACUGGACAAGGUCCUGGGUCCGGUACCCUGAAGAGCAGGUCCCACCUCGCGCAGCGGGACCAGCGCCCGGGCCUCUUAGUAACGGCGCGUAAACGAGAGCCCCGCGACGCUCCCGCCCGAACUUCGGGAC